GACGAACGCUGGCGGCGUGCUUAACACAUGCAAGUCGAACGGAAAGGCCCUGCUUUUGUGGGGUGCUCGAGUGGCGAACGGGUGAGUAACACGUGAGUAACCUGCCCUUGACUUUGGGAUAACUUCAGGAAACUGGGGCUAAUACCGGAUAGGAGCUCCUGCUGCAUGGUGGGGGUUGGAAAGUUUCGGCGGUUGGGGAUGGACUCGCGGCUUAUCAGCUUGUUGGUGGGGUAGUGGCUUACCAAGGCUUUGACGGGUAGCCGGCCUGAGAGGGUGACCGGCCACAUUGGGACUGAGAGACGGCCCAGACUCCUACGGGAGGCAACAGUGGGGAAUAUGGCACAAUGGGCGGAAGCCUGAUGCAGCAACUCCGCGUGCGGGAUAACGGCCUUCGGGUUGUAAACCGCUUUCGACUGUGACGAAGCGUGAGUGACGGUAAUGGGUAAAGAAGCACCGGCUAACUACGUG
rnacentral:rRNA from 1 species